rnacentral:rRNA from 1 species
AGGUCUUCCUGCGGUCGAGAUUCCUACGGGAGGCAGCAGCGGGGAAUAUUGGACAAUGGGCGAAUGCCUGAUCCUCAACGCCGCGUGAGUGAUGAAAGUCUUCCGAUCGUUAAGCUCUGUCGGGAGGAACAAUGCAUUCACUUGCUAAUACCUAGUGCGUCUGAACGUACCUCUAAAGGAAGCUUCCCCUAACUCUGUGCCUCCCGCCGAGGUAACACAGAGGGUGCAAGCGUUGUUCGAAUUCACUGGGCGUAAAGGGCGCGUAGGCGGCCUCGCAAGUCGGAUGUGAAAGCCCAGGGCUCAACCCUGGAAGUGCAUCCGAAACUGCGUGGCUUGAGUGUCGGAGAGGGUGGUGGAAUUCCUGGUGUAGAGGUGAAAUUCGUAAAUAUCACGAGGAACACCCGUGGCGAAGGCGACCACCUGGACGAACACUGACGCUGAGGCGCGAAAGCGUGGGGAGCAAACAGGAUUAGAUACCCUGGUAGUCCACGCCGUAAACGAUGGGUACUAGGUGUUGCGGGUAUUGACCCCUGCAGUGCCGACGCUAACGCAUUAAGUACCCCCGCCUGGGGAGUACGGCCGCAAGGCUAAAACUCAGAUGAAUUGACGG